UACGACCACAACACAUUGUAACACCAGUCCCCAUACGAUCACCGAAGUUAAGCAACGUCGUGGCUGGUCAGUACCUAGAUAGAUGACCGUUUGGGGAUACCAGGUGCUGUAAG